rnacentral:rRNA from 1 species
UACGAGAGGCCCAAACGUUAUUCGGAAUUACUGGGCUUAAAGAGUUCGUAGGCGGCGCGGAAAGUAGGGUGUGAAAGCCCUCGGCUCAACCGAGGAAUUGCGCUCUAAACUGCCGUGCUUGAGGAACCUAGAGGUGAGCAGAACUGAUGGUGGAGCGGUGAAAUGCGUAGAGAUGUGGAGGAAUACCGAUGGCGAAGGCAGCCCCCUGGGAUAACACUGACGCUCAGGCACGAAAGCGUGGGGAGCAAACAGG